UAAGGGAAGUUGUUCAGUCAACUCGGAAAAGGGGUAGCAACCCGGAAAGUAGACUCACCGUCUUGGUCUAGAGACUGACCCCUGCACAGACAGACCCCUUCCCCUCUCUGCGAAAGACCCAAGCCCCAGAAGUCACUCCAUCUCCUACGGCUCGCAAUUUCCAGAGGCCCCCUGGCACCUUCCAGCCUGAUGUCGUGCGUCAAGUUAUGGCCCAGCGGUGCCCCCGCCCCCUUGGUGUCCAUCGAGGAACUGGAGAACCAGGAGCUCGUCGGCAAAGGCGGGUUCGGCACAGUGUUCCGGGCGCAACAUAGGAAGUGGGGCUACGAUGUGGCGGUCAAGAUCGUAAACUCGAAGGCGAUAUCCAGGGAGGUCAAGGCCAUGGCAAGUCUGGAUAACGAAUUCGUGCUGCGCCUAGAAGGGGUUAUCGAGAAGGUGAACUGGGACCAAGAUCCCAAGCCGGCUCUGGUGACUAAAUUCAUGGAGAACGGCUCCCUGUCGGGGCUGCUGCAGUCCCAGUGCCCUCGGCCCUGGCCGCUCCUUUGCCGCCUGCUGAAAGAAGUGGUGCUUGGGAUGUUUUACCUGCACGACCGGAACCCGGUGCUCCUGCACCGGGACCUCAAGCCAUCCAACGUCCUGCUGGACCCAGAGCUGCACGUCAAGGUCAGCUGGUCUACACCCCUCUCAGCCUCAAGACAAGGCCCCAGAGCUGUUCCAGCCAGGCCCACCGGACACUAGACCUCCAGAGCCCUGUCUAUUGAAUAGGCGUAGCCUCUCCCUCUGGACACAGGGCUGCCAGGGGACAAAGCCCAGCCAGGAGUUUUAGCUCCUGCCGUACCAGGUGAUAGAGGCCCUGACCCACACGAGUCAUUUCCACCAGCUGCCCCACCAGCCCCUCCAAAGAGUCAUGGCUGACCCAGCCCUGGAGACUCAGACCUUGACCUAGCCCUACCACAAGGCACCUAGAUCUACCAUCCAAGGGAACCUCUUCCCUUGACCUCCACACUCCCUUUACAAAGCUGAACCUGCACCUUCUGGGGGCAGGGGGGUUCCUGGAGGCUCUCUGGCCCCCUUGUCUUCCCUACCUCCCACUUCUUUCCUUCCUUUGCAGCUGGCAGAUUUUGGCCUGUCCACAUUUCAGGGAGGCUCACAGUCAGGGACAGGGUCCGGGGAGCCAGGGGGCACCCUGGGCUACUUGGCCCCAGAACUGUUUGUUAAUGUAAACCGGAAGGCCUCCACAGCCAGUGAUGUCUACAGGUAAGGAUCCCGGCCCAAACACACAGCCAGGAUUCCUACACUUCUCUGGGCCCUCCCAGGGGAUGAUGUAUAGGAAAGGAGUCUUACCAGUGAUUGGACCGAUCCUCAGCUUUGUGUCUCCUGCAGCUUCGGGAUCCUAAUGUGGGCAGUGCUUGCUGGAAGAGAAGUUGAGUGUAAGACUCUAGGAGGAUUCUGGGAUCCUUAACCCCAGGUGCCCUUCUCUUGAAAGCCCCAAGGCUUCCCCUUCCCGCUCACCUACUUAGACUGCCCUCCUCCCUCCUCGUGCCCCCACAUUACACUCCCUGCCUCUUUCCAUGAUGAAGCAGAUAAUUCCCUUUUACCCUGAAUGGCUUCUCUUCUCACCCUCCUCCCCUAC
rnacentral:sRNA from 1 species